rnacentral:rRNA from 1 species
UACGUAGGGAGCAAGCGUUGUCCGGAAUCAUUGGGCGUAAAGCGCGCGUAGGUGGCCCCAUAAGUCCGCUGUGAAAGUCAAAGGCUCAACCUUUGAAAGCCGGUGGAUACUGUGGGACUAGAGUACGGAAGAGGCGAGUGGAAUUCCUGGUGUAGCGGUGGAAUGCGCAGAUAUCAGGAGGAACACCAAUAGCGAAGGCAGCUCGCUGGGACGUUACUGACACUGAGGCGCGAAAGCGUGGGGAGCGAACGG